rnacentral:rRNA from 1 species
GAUGAACGCUGGCGGCGUGCCUAAUACAUGCAAGUCGAGCGAAUGGAUUAAGAGCUUGCUCUUAUGAAGUUAGCGGCGGACGGGUGAGUAACACGUGGGUAACCUGCCCAUAAGACUGGGAUAACUCCGGGAAACCGGGGCUAAUACCGGAUAACAUUUUGAACCGCAUGGUUCGACAUUGAAAGGCGGCUUCGGCUGUCACUUAUGGAUGGACCCGCGUCGCAUUAGCUAGUUGGUGAGGUAACGGCUCACCAAGGCAAGGAUGCGUAGCCGACCUGAGAGGGGGAUCGGCCACACUGGGACUGAGACACGGCCCAGACUCCUACGGGAGGCAGCAGUAGGGAAUCUUCCGCAAUGGACGAAAGUCUGACGGAGCAACGCCGCGUGAGUGAUGAAGGCUUUCGGGUCGUAAAACUCUGUUGUUAGGGAAGAACAAGUGCUAGUUGAAUAAGCUGGCACCUUGACGGUACCUAACCAGAAAGCCACGGCUAACUACGUGCCAGCCGCCGCAGUAA